rnacentral:rRNA from 1 species
UUUUUAGACCUUCCUGGAGGAGCUUGCUAUUUAACCGAUAACCCACGAAAAACCUCACCAGCUUUUGAAAAACCAACCUGUAUACCAUCGCCGUCAGUCUACCUCAUAAGAGAAGUAUACUAAAGGAAAAAUCUCCUCUUAACGUCAGAUCGAGGUGCAGUUUAUAAGCUGGGAAUAAGUGAGCUACAAUAUUACAAUAACUUAAACCUAAAUUUGGAUAAUCCAAUGAAAAACGAUUUAAAAUAGGAUUCAGUAGUAAUACUUAAUAGAAAAUAAGUAUGAAAAUACUCUAAGCUCUAAAAUGCGC